GGCCCUCCUGAGCUCCCUUUGCUCCUCUGACCAUCUCUGCCUGCAUGCCUACUUACACCCAAACAACUCUCAGACCUGACACAGAAGAGCUAAGGCCAUGCGAGCCUGUGAGCGUGUGCACGUGUGUGUGCGUGUGUGAGUGUGUGUGUUCUCGAGCACACCUGUGCACGUACAUGUGCGCAUGUGGAGUCCAAAGGACAGUCUUGGCUCUCGCUCCUCAGGCACUGUCCACCUUUCUCUUUUCUUUCGACAGGCUCUUUCACUCAGCCGGCUUGUGUUGUGCUGUUGAUUUUUGUCAACUUGAUGCAAACCUGGACAUAUCUGGGAAGAAAGACUCUCAGGAAAGAAAACACCUCUAUCAGGGCCUUCAAGGGGCUCUCCAGAAGUCUGACAUGCAUCAUCUAUGGCUCUCUGCCCUAGGACUAGAAAACAGGCACCUGGAGGAUUAUGGCAUCGACAUAGUACUGAAGUAUGCCGGGUGCCUGGAUACAAACAGCUGCAUACAGGCCCACUGAACACAGGCUUCGUUUACCCGCUGGAAACGCCAGGGAUGCAUCUUGGGAAGGAGGCAGCCUCCUCCCUCUUGCAGGCCGAAGCCCCAGAUGGAUCCCCGAACGUGGAGAAUGAAGGACUCUUGGGACCCAGUCUUUGUGCCUCAGUUGGAGUGCCCUUGUGUCUGGCCUAAGAUUAGAAUAUUUGGGAAAAAGUGUUACAAAAUGCACCGAGCUGGCUUGUUCCACAGCUGAUUUUUUUCUCCCCCUGACACAGGAAAAAUAAAACCACAGCAGGCAAGCAGUCAGAGACAGUGGCUAUUACUUUGGUUGCGAGACUACUGUGGCUCGCCCAGCUUCCUGGCUGUGGAUUGACAUAGUGGCUUUGAGGAAGCUACUGAGUUGCCUCCCUUGCUCCCCGCUAGCUGCUGUGGGUGCACAUCUUAAUGGACGCGCUGACCACGUUCAUGGUCUCUGUCUGCCUCCUCACCGUAUCAGAGCUCUUGCUUAUGCUCAGGGCCCAAUGGCUCAAUCUGCACAGAAGCGUCUGCCUCGAUGGGACUGAAAAUCAAAACAACCAAAUCAAGACUACACAGCGCUUAGUCGGAAAUAAAAUUAGCUGGGAAUUUUGAAUCCAUUUGGAAAAUGGCUGCUGUGGUAAAGAUGGGUAUUUUUAGUUUCCA